rnacentral:misc_RNA from 1 species
GAUGAAGAACGUAGCGAAAUGCGAUACGUAAUGUGAAUUGCAGAAUUCAGUGAAUCAUCGAGUCUUUGAACGCACAUUGCGCCCCCUGGUAUUCCGGGGGGCAUGCCUGUUCGAGCGUCAUUUCAACCCUCAAGCUCUGCUUGGUAUUGGGCGUCGCCGGGGAGUCUCCCCGGCGUGCCUCAAAGCCAUCGGCGGUGGUGCCUUUCUCUAAGCGUGGUAGAAUUUUUAUUCGCUUCUGAGUUGGGCUUCGCCUGCCGGACAAACCGGGCCCUCGCGGCCCACCUUCUCAGGUUGACCUCGGAUCAGGUAGGGAUACCCGCUGAACUUAAGCAUAUCAAUAAGCGGAGGA